CAAAAUAAUACAUUAGCCUAGUACUACCAACCUCACAUCCCAAACUCCAGUGCGACCCCAUUAUUUCAUAUAAUUUAAGUUAUCCUUUAAUUCAUUUAGGCUUGUAUGUCAAUCGAGAGGUGUAAUUGUCAUUUCCAUGCCAACGAUUUAGUAAACAUUUCCAAUUAAUCUAGCUCUUCCAAAACGCGGCAGAACGUUUCAUCGCAGAGCAUCCACGCUGAACCAGACGUUGAACUACAUUUCCCUACGACUGAGGGUAAAUGGGCGUGUAGAUACGGUGACCGUUUCCGCAUAAAUAGCGCCCUCUCCCGCUGUAUCAUCCUCUUUCGGCUGCUCUCCUCGCUCAGAGACUUAUCUCCACACGAUGAGAGCCAAGUGGAGGAAGAAGCGCAUGCGCAGGUAAGAAUACCAUUCAAACCAGAACACUUGAUUUGUCAAUUGUUAGAAAAUGCUUGUCUGAAUAAUGGGGCCUGAUUAUAACUCGGCAUCACUGGGUUCCCAUUAGCAUUGAUUACAAAGUUCAGUCCUUAACAUGCAUCAUGCUCAGCCAGAGUAGUCUAAACGGGACCCUGAACAGCGACUAUUGAUUCAGGAUUGCCGCAACCUGUCAAGCUCAUGCCUAGGCGUGGACUGUCAAGUGGCCUGCAGCCAUGAGGCUAGUGGUAGCAGGUGUCCAUGUUAACCAAUCAGUGGCUGGUUCUAUGAUUGCUACAGUUUGGUCUUUCAUGGACAUGGCCUGUUGCUCUGCUUAAAGCGGGACCUUGUUACAAUUGUAAAAGUCUGUUGCAGGACAUGUAUAGUAGAAACUAGUGUAAAAAAAUAGAUAAAGCUUUUAUCCCUGAUGCAUGACGGCAACACGCAUAUCUAGUGCUGUAUCUUACUAAGACCCUACUGAGUAAGGCACUCCUCAAAGGGUGGUGCUCCCUGGUACAUAGUGUACUGCUUUAAGGGCAGAAAAACUAAUCUGGGAUCUUGUGUCCAGUUUCUAACCAGUUUCGUGUUUCCAACAGACUGAAGCGUAAGAGGAGGAAGAUGAGGCAGAGGUCAAAGUAGACGCCCUCUCCCAGCAGCUGUUCCUGUCCUGUGUGGUGAAGCGGUGAUCGGGCCAGGCGUCCAGAGUGGAAGCAGCAUGCGUGGAGCCAGUCUUCAAGAAAGAAUACGGCCCAGCGCUGGAUUGACACACUGACCCUGGACCAGCAGAUGUGGAUCUCUGCGGGACGAACCAAUCUUUUAACACCAGAACCAAAGCUGUUUUUAACGCCAUAAUAAACUUUGGUUACCACAUAACUGAAUCUGUGUGAUACUUGCUCAUUCGACAAAUAAGCCCCAGUCAAGAGUUUGGCUCACGGAGAAUAAUUGCGUUUCAAUUCUAUCCAGAGCAACUUGUUGCAUUUGUCAGUAAAGUGUCUACAGUAAGGAUGCUCACAGAAAGUGCCAAGAACUUAUGGCUAUUGGCUAGGUUAACCAAUAACUAGGAGCAUGGGUACCAUUUCAAUUGAGUGACGGGACAUGCUAGAGUUCAUGUGAAGUAUAAAUCCAUCGCUCAAUUAAUCACUGGCAAGCGUUCAUGUCAAAAGCUGAUUGUAUAGUUCAGAAAAUGAAGGACUGAAAUAUAAUUACCAUACCUGACUCAUUGUAUUUGGACAAAUUGGCUGAAUAAUCAAGCACUCAAAACUACUUGUCAAUGGUCAAGGAAGUGGACGCAAUAAUUGAUUUCAGUUUAAACUAGGAAGGACAAUAUUAAAGAUGAGUCCUGGAAGUAUCUGAGGCCUCAUUGGUACUGGAAGAUUAAUGAACCAAAAAACCAUCCCUCACCCACUGCCCAAUUGUAAAACUAAAUCAAUAUAAAAUGCGAUGGAUACAAUCUGUUUAUAAUUUUCAACUAUAAACAUCCUAUAUCAUAGACGCAGCAUUGGCUGCUGGGACGUGAGAAAUACGGCCGCAGAAAAGGGUUUCGGACCAUGUAUCUGUAUACACCACAGAGCUGUGGCAGGGAUAUUGGCAUUACAGUGGAUAGAGGAGAUGGAGGUACCCAAGAGUUAUUGCUUCUGACAGUUUUUCUGCUCUAUCCAGCAUUAGAUCAGGACGGUCGUCUUUUAGAAUGGGUCUAAUCAAUGAAAUAUUUUUUAUAAUGUACAGACUGCAAAUGAAGGGCAUAUUUACAUGUUUUAUCUGGGUUCCUGCUCAUGUUGGUGGGAAGGGAAAUGAGCAAGUUGAUAUUCUGGCCAAACAAGCACUCAAGGUAUUA
ensembl:lncRNA